GAGUCGAUAGCUCAGUUGGUAGAGCAUCUCCCUUUUAAGGAGAGGGUCCAGGGUUCGAGCCCCUGUCGACUCA
rnacentral:tRNA from 1 species